rnacentral:tRNA from 1 species
CAGCGCCAGGUGCUUGAGGUACUGGUUCAGGGUCAUGCGCGGGCCCCUUGGCUGAUACGCCAGGCCAGCAGUUCCGGACGGCUGGCGUUGC